GAGUUUGAUCCUGGCUCAGGACGAACGCUGGCGGCGUGCUUAACACAUGCAAGUCGAGCGGGAAAGGCCCUUCGGGGUACUCGUAGCGGCGAACGGGUGAGUAACACGUGAGCGAAUCUGCCUUUAGCUUUGGGUAUAACCCUCGGAAACGGGGGCGUAAUACCGAAUAUUCAAUUGACCGUACGCAUGGUGGUUGGUUGGAAAGUUUUUCGGCUAGAGAUGAGCUCGCGGCCUAUCAGCUUGUUGGUGGGGUGAUGGCCUACCAAGGCGACGACGGGUAGCCGGCCUGAGAGGGCGACCGGCCACGACUGGGACUGAGACCACGGCCCAGGACUCCUACGGGAGGCAGCAGUGGGGAA
rnacentral:rRNA from 1 species